CCUUGGACUGAACACCGCCUUUUCAGUUUUAUGCCGCCCCAUGUGUGCAGUGAGACGUUAUGGAAGCCGGCCAGCCUGGGCGGUGGAGCACACACGGCCCACGCUGUGAGCACAGCGGUGCGCGGGAAGGCUGCGCCUUUCGGUGGGGUGCAAGAUUGUGUCACUUGGCCGGGACUGGACGGCUGGUGCUCCUUUCCUUAAUUAACACUUUCAGGGGACGAAAACCAGCACAAUAGCUGUUCGGACAGUUCGAUCGGGGGAGGAGGGGUGUAAUGGGAAUUUUCCAAGUCUUGCUCUCGGUGUCGCCAUCCCCCCCCCCUGCCUUGAUGCUAAGAAGUCUGAAUGACAUCCAGCUAUCGAGACAUCAAGACACAAAUUCCCGUCCCCAGGGAUCUCUGCUGGGAGUCUAGACGCCGGCUACUUCGCCGGUCCGAGCCUGUUUUCUUACCUGUAGAGUGGCGACAACACCUACCCGAGGGAGUCGCAAGGAGUCUCAUAAAUGCCAUGAACAGAGCUCCUACGUCUUAGCUAAAGCACCCCGAGCAAGAAAGCUCGCCUUUCGGUCCGCCCUUAGAGGCUGCCAGCCUCGAGGAUGGGGGAUACAGGCAAAGCCCCCCGAGCGACCCAAACGCCAGGGGCAGAGGCCCAGCUGCGGAGCCCGCCGGCCUGUCCUGCCGGGCCGCCAGCCUGCCGGCGCCCGGCACCGCUUCGCCCCACCCCCGCACAGCCCGGGCGAAUCCGCGCCGCGAGUUCCGGGCGCCGGCGCCGCGCCGAGCGCCCCCGGGCCCGCCCUCGUCGCUCCCGAGCCUCCAGCUGUGCCAGCAACGCCCGAGCCCCGGGAGCUCCCAGCCGCCAGCGCGCAGGUGCCCGCGGCCCCCUCGCCCUGCAGUGGACAGGUCUGCAAGUCCAGAGGCAGGAAGGAACAGGAGGGCCUGGAAACCAAGUUGGAGCUUCCCAUUUACCCGUGAGAAUUCUCUAGUGUGUAGUGACGUCAACGAGAAGGGGCUGGCGCUGUGGCGCAGUGGGUUAAUGCCCUGGCCUGAAGCGCGGCAUCCCAUAUGGACGCUGGUUCGAGUCCCAGCUGCUCUACUUCUGAUCCAGCUCUCUGCUAUGGACUGAGAAAGCAGUAGAGGAUGGCCCAAGUCCUUGGGCCCCUGUACCCGUGUGGGAGAUCCGGAAGAAGCUCCUGGCUCCUGGCUUCAGAACGUCACUGUUCCAGCCAUUGCGGUCAACUGGGGAGUAAACCAGGAAGACCUCUCUCUCUCUCUCUGCCUUUCCUUUCUCUGUAUAACUCUGACUUUCAAAUAAAUAAAUAAAUCUUUAAAAAAUA